AUCAUUGGCGUGGGCAGUGAUUAUAUGGCCAAGAGAUGUAUCCCAAGUAUUUUGAUUGCAGAAAUGAAAGACAUGUAUGUUCUGAUUUUCAGCCUUACUCAAAAUGCUUUAUCUCUGUUUGUUGCGAGAGAGGCAUUGUGAAGGAUGAAGGAUCAUAAUUUUCUCUUACUUUUAAUUGUCAAAGCCUUUAACUGAUGCAACACUGUAUGGACAUCGAGAUAUAUGCAGGAUCCUGGAAGUCAAUAGAGGCAAGGACUCGACCAAUGAUCAUUCCAUGACGAUCCGCCGUGAAGAAGAUUCAUAUGAGGUGAAUAUUGACUUGUCUGAACUGAAUUUGCAGCAUUCAUCAAUGAUUGAACAGAACGGUCCGGGUCACGAUCGCGACUGCAACUUUGAACCAUGGUUGUUGCGGCUUUGACUGACAAUGGAAAUCUUCCUGCUUAUAGAACUUUCACAUACGAUCGCGACUGCAACUUUGAACCAUGUUUGUUGCGGCUUUGACUGACAAUGGAAAUCCUCCUGCUUAUAGAGCUUUCACAUACAAAGAGUUCUGUAGCACAUUCUUUGGGAAAGCUGGUUGCAAUGCUCCAAAUGCUCUAGGAUGCUUCAAGAAUACACCAGAAUGACGAGAAAUUUCCAAUUUUGUGAUGAAUUUUAAAAAAAUUCUACAAAAGGGGUGAUUUUGGUGGGAUAUUUCGUAGGAGGGUUUUCGCAUUCCGCGAAUGCGAGCUCUACUUAUUGAGUACAGCUCUAUUGAGCUCGCAUUCCGCGAAUGCGAGCUUAAGUAUAAUUUAAAUUUUUUUGCUUUUUUUUUGGGAGCUAGAGAAUUUUUUCCAGAAAAUAGUAAGAGCUAAAUGCGAGCUCCUAAAUGUUUUUUUAAAAAAUUCUUCAAAUAGCUCGCAUUUGA